rnacentral:lncRNA from 1 species
GUUCUUAAAGUAUAGUGGAGCAUGACUUAGAGGGAAUUCCUUUUGAUCAAACAUAUUGAAGAAAUCAAGUGUGGGGGAAGGUUAUGUACAUGAGAAAAAGAAAUGUAUAUGAGAAAAAGAAAAAAAAAACGUGAAGAAAAGAAAAAAAGAAGGAAAAAGUUGAGAAAAGAAAGAAAAAGAGUUCAAAAUAAGUGAGAAUGAGCUCACAAGUAUUGGUUGUUGAAGAAAGGGUCCAAAAAGUUUGAAUAUAACCCUAAGUUGUACGAAAUCCCUUUAGUGUUUCAAGUUAUUUGCUACAUUCAAGAGUGAAUUCUAAGUUGAUUUCAUUGCUUUGCUUACUAUUGCUUUAAGAACCUUUGUUUAUCCUUACCUUUCUUUGGUAGCCAAUACCCUUAGCCCUGUUACAACCCUUAGACUUGUAUCUUGGUUGUUGUGUGUUUCAAUAUGUGGAGUUUGGGAUUGGUAUGAGAAUAUGGUAUCCCUGGUUCUCGCGUUUAAGUAGUGGCAUCCUAUUCAUGAGAUCAUAUAUAUACAUGCAUUAAUAAUUCCAGAAAUUGCCUUCUUUGAUCAUAACAUAUGUGAGUGUUAGUUUACAUGUUUACAUCAAUCUUCUCACAUAUACCUAGUAUAGGGAGUGUAGUCAGAAAAUCUCUAUGAAAAUAGAGAGUAUAUCCAAUGAGGAAUUGAGGGAAUU